rnacentral:rRNA from 1 species
GAGACAAUCAACCACAUACUUCUCGGCUGCGUCUUUGCUAGACAAGUGUGGUUCUCCAUUCUCGACCACUGGGACAACCUAACUUGGUUGCCAACUGCGGAUGACAAUCUGGUGGAAUGGUGGACCUCCAUCAACCCGCAGCCAAAGCUUAGGAAGGAGACUUGGACCGUCAUUGCAUUGGUGGCUUGGAUGUUGUGGAAACACAGAAAUGAUGUAGUGUUCAAUGGAGCGACAGCCUCCACAAGUGAGCUCCUCAGGAAGAUUGAUCUACAAGGGCAAGACUGGAGGGCGGCAGGGCGGCUGCGAGAGGCGGGAUCACUCCCGAUUAGAGUAGAUGAGUGGGCUAGUAGUGAGUAA